GGUGCUAUAGUGUAGUGGUUAUCACUCAGGAUUUUGACUUCAACUUUCCUGAAACCCAGGUUCGAACCCUGGUAGCACCU
rfam:Phlebiopsis gigantea 11061_1 CR5-6 unplaced genomic scaffold PHLGIscaffold_291, whole genome shotgun sequence.